rnacentral:rRNA from 1 species
UGGGGAAUAUUGCACAAUGGGCGCAAGCCUGAUGCAGCCAUGCCGCGUGUGUGAAGAAGGCCUUCGGGUUGUAAAGCACUUUCAGCGAGGAGGAAGGCGUUAAGGUUAAUAACCUUAGCGAUUGACGUUACUCGCAGAAGAAGCACCGGCUAACUCCGUGCCAGCAGCCGCGGUAAUACGGAGGGUGCAAGCGUUAAUCGGAAUUACUGGGCGUAAAGCGCACGCAGGCGGUUUGUUAAGUCAGAUGUGAAAUCCCCGAGCUUAACUUGGGAACUGCAUUUGAAACUGGCAAGCUAGAGUCUUGUAGAGGGGGGUAGAAUUCCAGGUGUAGCGGUGAAAUGCGUAGAGAUCUGGAGGAAUACCGGUGGCGAAGGCGGCCCCCCUGGACAAAGACUGACGCUCAGGUGCGAAAGCGUGGGGCAGCAAACAGGAUUAGAUACCCUGGUAGUCCAGCGCUGUAAAACGAUGUCGAC